rnacentral:rRNA from 1 species
UACGUAGGGUGCAAGCGUUAAUCGGAAUUACUGGGCGUAAAGCGUGCGCAGGCGGUUGUGUAAGACAGGUGUGAAAUCCCCGGGCUUAACCUGGGAACUGCACUUGUGACUGCACGGCUGGAGUGCGGCAGAGGGGGAUGGAAUUCCGCGUGUAGCAGUGAAAUGCGUAGAUAUGCGGAGGAACACCGAUGGCGAAGGCAGCCCCCUGGGUCAAGAUUGACGCUCAUGCACGAAAGCGUGGGGAGCAAACAGG